GUAAGUUUUCCAGCAGUCAGAAUUGGUUUAGUCUAGGCUAUGACCUCUGUGUAUGAAUCCUGGCUUCACUUUCCUGGAUAUAUUUCCUGCUUCCCUGUCACAGCAUCCCUGGGGGAGGCUGCCCUGGCAGCUCUGUGUACCUGUGCUGCAGCAGAAGGCAUUCCCAUGGGAACAAGCAGUACAGGCCGGUGGAUAGCAGCACUGCACUUGCUGCAGGAGGGAGACAGGCAAGAGCUCUGAGCCGGAAGGUGAGUCUCAGCAGGGCAGGACAAACAGACAGCACUGGCAUACCCAGUGCCAGCUGCCUCAGCCCUCGGGGAGCAGGACACAUGAUGCUGCAAUUACUGCUUCUCACAGCCUUUACUUUGGUCUGCACGUUUCAUUUGAUGCAAACACUUUGCAAGCAAAGGCUGGAAAAUACAUGUAUUCAUUGUACAGAAAGGGACAUCCUUUCCUCAGUUCAUGUAUGGGCAUUUGCUGUGUGGAAAAAGGUUAAAUGGUAACAAGAAGGAUCAGGCAGGAGCCCAGCACUUGAUAAGUAUAUAUGAUCAUGUUAAGACUAAGUUCAUUAUCGUGGUGUGGCCAAGACUGCAACAACUGAGGUUGUUCAAUUUCUUUGUGAUUCGCCCCUGUGAAAUGUCUUGUGGCUCAGUGAAGGAAAAAGAGUUGUAUUAGAGAUAGGAGUUGCCCAUAUGGAAUUCUAACUGUUUUGUUCCAGUUGAAAAUCACAGACCAAAAGCAGGCCACGUCUCACCAAGGUUCAGCAGUGAGGUGCCCUGGAGAACAACACUGAAUAUAGCUGUCAGUGCAGCAAAGCCUUAAAAAGGCGUGAAACUGUGGAGACAGGUUUGCUUCUUCAUGUGACCUGUGGUUCAGAGCUGGCUUUGCUUCUGUUUUCCUGUAAGUAAUCAUUAGCCAUAAAACUGAAGAAACCAAGAUGUCAGUGAAAUGGUGUUGCCAAUUGGGAGGCAGUGGCUUUGCUUUCCUUUUGCAAACUUCUUCAAGUGCGGCUUCAUGUGGAAAAACCAUGAAGUUAAACUUAGGGCUGCAGCCUUGGCAGGGGGGUUGGACCAGAUGAUCUUCAGAGGUCCCUUCCAACCCUAAGGAUUCUGUGGUGCUGUUUGUAUUGCUGCUGCUUGCAGCAUGGCAAGAUGGGGUUUUUCAUGUUGCUUGCAAGGCAGAUAUCUUUUCUUCUUCCUUGUAAGCUAAGGAAAAACCUAAAGCUUCUUAAAAGAAAUUUUUUAAAGCAGUUCAGCUUUUUGAAACUGCAUAAUUGAAGAGCUCUGAAAUAAUUGGCUUAUUAUAGUGCACCCGUAAAAAUGAAUUUGCAUCUCAUUUAUGAACUAUUAGAUUCCUUAUUACAUGAGACUGAUUGUUCUUAAUGUGACUUGCAUGUAAUUUAGCAUUCUUUACUCAAACACUUUGUAGCUAAACACUGGGGGAGGGAAGUUCAUUCCAAAAUCAUGGCACUAGAACUUAGAUGACAGAGCACUCACACUCCUGCUCAGUGUGCUCUCAUUACGCUGUUUGUCUCUCUAUUCCCAUCUCAGUUCCACACUGGAGGCCACAAGUCCAAGAUCACUCAACUGAUUUUUUUCCUUGCCUCUUCCCCACUGUUUAGGCGUGCUCACACCCCAGUGAGAAGUGCUGAAGACAAACAGGAGCUGCGAGUACCCAGGACUGAGCUGUGUGGUGCUGUCAACUCGCUGGAGGGAAAGGUUGGGAUCCAGAGGGACCUGUAGAGGCUGGAGAAGUGGGACCAUGUGAACCGCAUGAAGUUCAGCAAGGCCAAGAGCAAGGUCCUGCCCCUGGGUCGGGGCAGUCCUAAGCACAAACACAGGCUGGGGGAGACUGGAGGAGCAGCCCUGAGGAGAAGGACUUGGUGGUGGUGUGUGAUGAGCAGCUCUCCAUGACCUGGGUGUGUGCGCUUGAGCCCAGAAAACCUCUUGGGUGGAGGCCUGUGGGUGUCUGCAGGCAAGUUAUGCCAGUGGUCAAAGCCCUUGUCCGGGGAUGUGUGUGAGGGUUGCUGAGCCAAUGCUUUCCAGCUGCUUGGCUGGGAAUUUGCAUGUAUCAACACGUUGGAAAUAGUCACCUGUAACGGUACAGAAAGCUGUUCCCUUGCAGCAGAAACAGUGCACUAACAGUGAGGAAUCAUGACCUCUCCCAUGUGCUUCCGUCAGCAUCUCCUAUGUGUGAGCAUUAGUUCAGGUGAUCACAAAGCCCAAUCUUGGUGUCUGUGACUCCACUUUGACUUGAAGGAGGGGCAAAGAUGACAAGAAUAAAAAUGCAGCAAAACGCAGGGUCACCUUGUGAGCGGAGGAGGAUGCUGGGAGGUGAUUAUAGAAAUCAUGUCACAGGGUUGACAGGCAGGUGACAAGCAGGCUCCUUGCAUGAAAUACUGCAGAAUUACUGAGCUGUCAUUUCACAAUAUUUUAUUUACUGUAGCUAGCAAAUGGCAAAAGAAAUGACAUCCCUCAGUGCUUUCCAAUGGGUACAGAAAAUGCUGUGGUCUUCCUAAGAGGCUGAUGUUAGUGCCUCUUUGGACACAGGCAGUUAACAUAUUGAUGCUAACUUCAGCAGCAGCAAGUCCUGGGGUCACAGGUUUGAAUAUUGGUGGUUCCAAAAAUAGGUGGAUGCUCCUGGAUGCUUUUUGUCAGAAAGUUUGUAGAGAAUUGAGGUGUUAAUUGGCCUUUUUGUUCAGCUGAUGGAGCAUGUGGUUAAAUCCAGUGCAUGUCCUGCUGUUGCUUUGGGGGUUGCAGGGAAGGAGGACGCUGGGUGAGGGAAGGGGAAGUAAUUCUGGGUUGAAAAACUGUGAAAGGGCCUUAUGGCUCCUUCAGACACAAUAAAGUACAUACAAUUCUGUUGACUUUGGAGGAGGAACUAACAAUGUUGACAGCGGUUACAUUAGAACAUCGCUGAAAUACUUUGUAUUUCAUUUGCCUUUCUUCUUGAUUGUAAAUCCUCUCUGAAUUUCCAUUCAGCAGUAUAGUAAAUACAGAGGUAACAUGGGAUACACCAACAGCCAAGGAAGCAUAAAUUAUCCCUUCAUUCCCCUAAUCCCUCCCUUACACUCCUUUAUAACGUUCAAGUUUGGGUUCAGAUAUGUGGAUAUUCUGCACAUUUAAGAGCCAUCGUUUUAUGUAGGGAAAUGAUUCACUUCACACAUUAGAGCAAAUCUGAAAUGUGUCAGGAGGGAUCCUGGGUGUUUCUGGGCUGUCACACGCUGUUUGAGGAGCAAUUACUCCUGGUCGGAUCAAACCUUGUGCUGGGGCUGAGGCUGGUGCAGCAGGGGCAGGGCUCUGCAUCCCAGGGGAGGAAGGAGAGCCCCUUACAGCUGUUAACAUCUCUCUUCCACUUCAUCCUUUCAGUGCACCCCAGACUUUGAUACUGUUUUGUUUAGGGGUGGUUUUACACCUCAGAACCUGUGAAGGGUUGUAAGAAGGAUUCAGAGUUCAGGGGUUAAGAACAAUUGAUCUGUUGGCUUUUCCAAGGCAGGCGUGCUGCUGCCGUGGCCUUUGCAGGAUAAAUGUCUUACUCUGACAAAUUCACGGUGCUAUGGAGAGGCCUGGGUGUGCUCAGAGCUGUACUUGGGGAGCAGGAGCUGCAGAGUGCUGGAGCAUGGCAGGGGAGAGCAGGCCUCUGUUUUCUGUCGGGGGAAGGUGGAAGCACAUUUUCAGAGCAGCCAGUCGUUUUGUAAAUGGCUGUUUCUAAUUCCCAGAUAAACAGGUUUUCAGUCCGUUUCCAUCUCAGAAGGUGGAUUCUAGGCACAAUUUAAAAGAUUCCUUUCAGCUUUCACUAUUUGGCAAUCAAAAGCACCAUCAUCCUGGAUCAAACAUUUUAAUUCUCUGCUUUGGCUUAAACUCAUAGUUGUGAGCAAAGAAUAGGUCUGUAUGGAGUCAAGGCUGUAAGAUCUAUUCUCUCUCUCCCUCUCCUCUUUUUUAAUAUGAGUAUUUUAUGAAGAAAGCUUCACUUCUCCCACCAGAGUUACAGGUUACGUGGCUGGAGUUUCUUUGUGGAGAACACCCAUUACAGUUGUGCCUCACCAUCCUGAGCUGCAAGUGCCUGGGGGUUUGCUGCUCUGCUUUGGACACAAGGACAUGGUGAGGCCUCUUCUCUCGCACAACACUCACUUGAAAUGGAGGGAAGGAAGAGGUGGAAAGAUGUUUGUCCUCCUGCAACAGAGUGCAGAGAAACUGUGGGGUUUUGUUGGUGUUGUGCAGGAAGUUCACAGCGCACCGGGAGCGGAAUCUCUUGGAGCAGCACUUGCUGCUUGUCUGCACACGCUGCUGUUUGUUUUCUAAAGCAUGUAUUUAAAGGACACACCAUGAUUACUAAUAAACUAAAUUAAAAGGGCAAAAGCUGGAGAGAGACAGUAGAGGGAAGUUCUUAUACCUGUCACCGUGUUCAUUACUCACAGUGUGUGUGUUUACUCUGUUCCACAGAUCACCAUGCAGACGUAAUGGUAAUUAUCUGGGCAGGAGGUGGGGUUUGCAUGCUACAGGAAAACACUGCCAUGGCUUGCGAAUUUGAUUUUAGUAUCUGUGCCAUGCUAUUGUUUGGCCUAGAAAUUAGAUUGCUUUUUACUAAUAUAAUUGGCUAAUUAAAACAUCUUCUGUAGGAGAUGGGGAAGAUACCCACAGUCCUUAUGUGACUUGGGACAUAAUAAAGUAAACAUGAGUCAGUUCCUAAUCCAACAAGAGCUCAUUUAGAGCACAAAGAAAGGAGUAUCCACAAUAUAAUUUUCUUAAUAGGUUUCCGAGAUGAUUUAGAGUCCAGUCCUCCACCUUUGGAGUGGAGACAGAAACACUGGAACACAGAAGACCCAGCCCUGCAGGACUACCUAUGGCGAUACCCAGCGGAAGUCUCUCCUCAGUCCCCUGCAGAUACUUUGGUCUACAGCAGUCCAGGGGAAUUACUCCAGCCUAAAAUGAUCUUAAAACCAAGAUAGUAUUAGAUGAAGAAACUUACUCUAAAGUAGUAGUUUCUGCCUCUGUAAGUACGCUGUAGAAAGACACAAGGUGCGGUAUUUUGAUCAGUUCUUUCUUCCACUGUCACACAUGAAGCAGACUCUAAGCAACAUCUCUCUCUCUGGCAUACGGCAUUGUAUGCGCUUUGUGGUGACUUCCUGACAAAAAAUGCAGAGUAAUUGCUGUGAUUGCUGUGCUCCCAGCUCUUAAAUGUGUACACCACCUCCAUUUCAGUCGUGUAUGAGCCGUGCUGCUGCCAUUUACACGUAUGACUCAUUUGCACAGGCUUAGCUUUUCUCCUGAUUUAGAUCCAGCUGCUCCAGCACAGAUUCAGUUACCUUUACAUUGCCAGGCUCUUGUGCUGCUCUUCUGCAGUAAAGCUCAUGGAACCGUGCACAGCCACCCCUGGCUGUUGUAUCAGGAUACCCCAAACCUCCCCGCACUUGAGGCUGCACACAGACCACACUGUGGGUGCUCACCUCUUCUGCCACUGAGGCAAGAUGGAGUCAUGGACUGCUUGGACUAGCAGAAGGAGCAUUUUCGUGGCUGGAGGGUUCAUGAUCAUGAAAAUAAUGAAUUUUCUCUUUUGUGCAGGAGGAUUCUGUACUUCACCUUUUUGCAGAGGCCAAAACUGACACCUGGAAAGAUAAAAGCUGUCAGCUCUCAGCUGGUGUUUCAUCCCAAGUGGAAAGACCUGUGCUGACUUCAGCUCCCAGAGAAUUUGUCCACAUCUGUGUUCUUUCAGAGAUGAAAUGAAUUCCCUUUCUGUACCAAGAACAGACUCUUAACUUAAACCCAAGCUGGGUCUGGAUGCUGUGAGCCAGGCUCAGUAUCUGGGUGGAAACGUGCCCGUUGAACAGCUUUGUUCAAAAGGAAGCUCAGGAAGAUUGGACAAAGUGGCGUUAAGAAGUUAAAUCACAAAUGAACGUUCAGAUGUCAUUUCUGCCUCUGUGGAUGUGGUUUUGCUGUGUGUGAGAAGCACCUCUUGCUGUUCCGUUGCUGCUCUCUAGAGUUGGCCAGUUAUGAAAUUACAAAGUGCAGAAGUCACCUGGUGGUGAGUUAUAACCAACACUAACUGCUGGCUAUGUGGUAAAGCAGUCAAGUGAUUCAUGAAGAACAUGUUACCAUCUUUAACUGGAGACUAGCAGUAAAUGGCUCCAUCUGCCUUGGAGACAGGGAUGGAAGAGCCUUAGCCUUACUCCCUGGUGAGAACACAGAGGAAGAGGCCAGCACAGUCAGACUAGAUAUCUGCACCAGCCAUGACUACCUUGGUGGAUCUAGAAGAAAGCUAGCUAUAUAUGGAAAAAUCAUUGUCACAAGCUUCCUUGCUGGUAAAGGAGCUCAGCAGAACAGGAGGAGGACAGGCAAUCAGAGGAAACACUGCAGGGAUAUGAAAUGAAAGAGAUGGUACAGCAAGUUAAGGAAGAUGUCUCCAGGGGAAGAACAGAAGAGAAAGUCUUCCUCGUGUCCCUGCUUUGCUGCAGAGCAGUUUUCCGUACUGCAGGCAUGUGAGCUCACUUCCAUACUGCCUUCUAGAGUGAGCCCCAGCUAGUCCUGGAGGAAAACAUAAACCUGCUUUUAAGGUUAGCAUGUUCCAAGACAAUAUGGAUAUAUUCAACACUAAUCUGGCUCUUCCACCCAGCAGAGCUCUUUGACAGUACACCACCAGGCAUUUGUCACAGCCAGCUCUUUCCAGAAGCUGUCUUCAUCAUUAAGGGAAACUUCAUUUACAAACUAUAAUGAAAGAAUAGCAUCCUGCAGCCGAAGCUGGAAAUAUUUGGCAAAUGACUCUACUUGAAAGCUUUCCAUGGGAUGUCAGUCAGCUCCAGUUAAAAGUCUGAUCAGAUGCCUGCUCUACGUGCAAAGCCAUCAAGUGACUGCAGCAAAUGCCUCUGGAACACAAAGCAGAAGUAGGCAGGCAGCAGCUGAACGGAGCCCCUGCUGCCAGGGGAAGCAGACAGUGGGGUUGGGGUUUCCCACCGAGUCCUCCAGCCCUUCACUGCUGGGGGGAGGGUUAUUAAACCCUUCUGCUUUGCUCUGAAGUGCUACAAAUAGAAUGGUAAAUCUAAAUAAUUAGGUGCAUGCUGUUCCCUUCACUAUGUGCUGCUGAUGACAAGCAGGGACCGGAAACCAAAAGGAAAAUAUAAGUAUAACUAGAGGCUAUUGUGCCCACUAUGGAGCUGACUCCUGCAGUUGGGAUAUAUACCUUGUACCUGUGUUGUACAUCCUGCAGUGGUGACUGCCUUCUGCUGUAAGUGAGGCUGUUUAUUCAAGCCAGGAUCCUCUUUGCACCAGUGACCCAGUGUUACAUGGCUCAGCACCCACUCUGGCAAGCUGCAGAAAAGGGAGGUUGUAUCCUGAGAUGGGAGCAAUGGUUCUCAAACUCUCCCUUGAAUUUCCUGCUCUUCUGCCUUCUGCUCCUGUAAGGAAGGUGGCAAGUAUGAUUGCAGCAGGAACACUUUCUCCAUAAUGGUCUCUGUGGGCUAUCAAGCCCGACCCACAAGGUCUCUUGGCCUCAAAGAGCCUAAUGGAAGGUCUUCUGAAGGGGGCUGCUUCUCAUGCCUGCCCCUGAAUAAAUCCUACCUUCUCUGUUUUGAGGUUCAAAAGCUCUGAGACGUGCCUGGGACCACCAGCUAGAUAACAAAUCUGAGAGAUGCCAGUUGAAAGCUGACAGCAAAGGGAGAGUGGACAGGGAUUACACCAAGGUUGAUGUUACUUGUCAUGUAUUGGCUUACACCUGAGACAACUGUUGCUUUGCUCAUCUACAGCAAACACUUAAACCCUUGAAGUUGGGUUUCUGGAAAUAGACACCUCAGAAAGAGGAUGAGUGUCUACAGAAACAUGCCGAGAGAUGGAAUCCAGCUGCCAUCUCCAGGACCGAUCAGUCAUGUACGAGGCCAUUUGAUGCCUCAUCCAAAUUUCUAUCUAACUGGUUGGACAAGCUCAAAUCCCCAUGUUGAAAGCAGCAUUUUUAAGAGCAGGUAUGACUGUUUAUAAGCAAGGGACAGGUCUGAGCCACUUGCCAGCUUUGUUAGCUUAGUGCAUUAGAAUUAAGGACUAGCGUCCUUUUUUCCCCAACAUAAGUAUUGAGCUAGAAAUUCAUGUCUACUUUCAGCAGUGAUCGAAGUCCUUCAUAUUCCACAUAGGAACAGAUGGACAAAAGUGUUUUCAUCUAUGAGCAGUUAAAGGCUAAGAAGGGGUCUUCAGCAACACACACGCAUUCACGCUCUCUCCCUCUCUUGAUCAGGAUUCUCAGCUGAGAGUUCAAAGGCCACUUUUCAAGGCUUUCUUUUUGUGUGUGUGUCUAAAGCACCACUUUGUGAGGUUUGGGAGUGGAAUCAUCUCCUAUUGCAUCUGAUAAAACUUCUCUGCUAGAAAGCUGAUUUCAGAUUUAGACUCAACUCCUGUCUGCAUUACCAAAAAUAUUCCUGACCAUUCCUCCAUGCUCCUUAAGCCUUUCCGUGAGAUUCAGUGAAUCUCGUCAGUUACUGGCAAUUGGGGAUCCUGUUAUCAGCAGUUCCCAGAGUCCCAUCCAAAGCCAGCGUGAUGACAGGACAUAAUCUCAGCGUGCUGAACCGUUGCUGAAAGGGAGACCUGACACCUUCAAAAGAGGCUUUAGUGACUUGCCAUUUCUCUGGGGUAGUUCUAGCUAUGACCUGCGUGCCUGGGUUGAGUACAUCUACUCUGGGGAAUGCUUCCUAGAAUGCCAGAUUUCGGAAUAAUUCGUGUUAUAUAUUUGGAUAACUGCUUCACAAGCUGUUUUGUCUUUGAGAAAUGAUAAUGAAAGGCAGAUGAUUUAAAAAGAGAAAAAAGAACACAUGUCUAAGUGAAGACUUUAGUGUUUUGGGGCCCUGGUUUGGAAGUGGAGCUGAUUGCCAAAGUUACUGGCUAACAUAAAUUCUCCUUCAAUUUCUUUGUAAUUUUGAAGCUAAUACAACUCUAGUGGAAGUUCCUAAUGUUAUUUUUCCUCUCUUAACCUAAUUAACAAACUGUAAAUUUAUGUAGUCCUAAAUGGAAUUACUUUCUCCUAAGCACUGCAGAGGGAGUUAUUUCUCAUGUCCCUAUUAAAGCAUGAAUAUCAAUGCUAAUGCUUCACAGCAGCUACCAUACCUGGAUUCUCUUCACAGGAACAGUACAUGGACAUUGCCCUGAGUGAGGCUGUGGUCUCUUAUGCCAACUGCUGACACUAACUGAGGACAGCAUCACACUGCCUUUGUUGUUGCUAUUUGAAAUGUUAAAUUGGAGCUGUUGGCAUAUUUACCUGCUGAACAUUCAGAAAAGCCUGGAUAUGGCUCAAAAAUCUGUUAUACUAUUAAAGAACUAAAACCAAACCCAACCUCAAACCCUUAGUUUUCAUUUCAUAAAAGGCUUCAAGAAGUCUUUUGAUUAAAUUAUUAAAAACCAAAAUAAAUUCUCAGAGAGGAAUCAUAUUUUUUUGCUGAACAUGAUUUUUUAAUGAGGAAUUUUUCAACAGAGUUGUAUUAAACCAGGAUUACUCCUUUACAAGAACCUGCCAUCACUUCUAGUGAUGUUCGAGGGUAUUACCAAUCCUGUGCUAAUAGCUUCACAUGCAGUUAGUUUCUCAAAAACAGAUUUAACACAUUUCCAAACAGAAAAUGUGUGUAUUAUUUUGUGGCUUAAAUCUGUUUUAUUGUGAUACCACUUCCAGAAUACUGAAGGUAUAAAAUGGUUUAUGGUCCAAAAGAUAAACUAGCACAAGCCACUAUACUCAAAAAUAGGGAAGGAUCUGAGAAAGUGCUAAAAGCAUUAUUACAGCUACAGAAUGGACUCUUAAAUCUUUUAUGCAACUUGAUCAGUUCCCACUGGAACACACUGUAUUGUUUUCAUAAAUAAAUACCCAAAGCUGCUGUGCACAGUGUU